UACGGAGGGUGCAAGCGUUAUCCGGAAUCACUGGGUUUAAAGGGUGCGUAGGCGGAUAUAUAAGUCAGAGGUGAAAGCUCUGAGCUCAACUGAGGAAUUGCCUUUGAUACUGUAUAUCUUGAAUUGUGUUGAGGUUAGCGGAAUGAGUCAUGUAGCGGUGAAAUGCGUAGAUAUUCGGAGGAACACCAGUGGCGAAGGCGGCUCACUGGGUCGAUACUGACGCUGAGGUGCGAAAGCGUGGGGAGCGAACAGGAUUAGAUACCCUGGUAGUCCACGCCGUAAACGAUGAAUACCAGUCGUCAGAGGACUUCCCCUAGUGUGACACACGUAGCGGACUAAGCCAUGCAUGUGGGGAGUACGAUCGCACGAGUAAACCUCCAAGGAAUGGACCGGGGGGCGCACAAGCGGUGGAGCAGAUGGUCUAAUUCGAAGCUACGCGCAGAGCCCUAUCAACCUAAGACAUCAUGUGCUAAGCCGAGAGAUCCGGCGUUCACCUCGGUGAUGCAGUGACAGGUGCUGCAUGGCUGUGGUCAACUCGUGUCGUGAGAUCUUCGGUUAAGUCCGGCAACGAGCGCAAAACACAGCGGUAUUUACCAGCAUUCAGUUGGUCACUCUAGGGGAACUGGGCGAGAUAAGCGGGAGGAAGGUGUGGAUGACGUCAAGUCGUCAUGCGCCUUACAGGGUGGGAUACACACGUGUUACAAUGGCAGAGACAAUGGGUUAAUCCCAAAAAGCUGUCUCAGUUCGGAUUGGGUUUUGCAACUGGAUCCCAGGAAGUCGGAAUCGUUAGUAAUCGCGUUCCAGCAUGACGCGGUGAAUACGUUCCCGGGCCU
rnacentral:rRNA from 1 species